ensembl:lncRNA
GUCCGGGAGGCGUGCGUUAUGUUUUGGCCGCUGCCCGAGGUCAUCAUUCUGCUGCGGUGUGCGACCCUGUCUUGGUCAUGGAUGUCCCCGUGUGGGUGGAUGUAUGCCUGGACUGCCGUUCGGUGUCUCGGCUUCUGUGGAUGGUGGUUCUAUCUGAUGAUGGUUGCCCCUACAGUGGUCCUGCUGUGCGCCUGGCUUACUACUCACAAUUACUUGAAUCAUUUCUGUCAAAGGAAUUGCAUGUAUUAUACAUUGUUCAUUCUGUACACAUGGCAUCCAUUGUAGUCUGUCCAUCCCGGGAGUGGGAUCCCUCCUCUGACGUUCUCCCUAAGGUUUCUUCCCUUUUUCCCUCUUGUAAGGGUUUUUUCAUUUUUUGGGGAGUUUUUCCUGUGCCGAUGGUGGGUUUCGGGGCAGAGGAUGUUGUAUGUGUACAGACUGUAAAGCCCUCUGAGGCAAAUUUGUAAUUUGCGAUUAUGGGCUAUACAAAAUAAAAUGAAUUGAAUAGACUAGCCAUAGGUUUAAAUGAGGGCAAUACGUUUUUGCAGUGCUUUGUUCACUGUUAAAUAGAUCUUUAAGCAUAUAGGGGUAGGCAAAAUUAGACAUUACGUUUGUCUAUUUUCCAUGGAUACGUAAUAGUAAAGAUAUGAUUGUACUCCGCUAGCAGUCGCCGUCUGAUG